rnacentral:rRNA from 1 species
CAGCCGCCGCGGUAAUACGUAGGGUGCAAGCGUUAAUCGGAAUUACUGGGCGUAAAGCGUGCGCAGGCGGUUCGCUAAGACAGAUGUGAAAUCCCCGGGCUUAACCUGGGAACUGCAUUUGUGACUGGCGGGCUAGAGUAUGGCAGAGGGGGGUAGAAUUCCACGUGUAGCAGUGAAAUGCGUAGAGAUGUGGAGGAAUACCGAUGGCGAAGGCAGCCCCCUGGGCCAAUACUGACGCUCAUGCACGAAAGCGUGGGGAGCAAACAGGAUUAGAUACCCGGGUAGUCCCUGUCUCUUAUAC